GGGGACGACCGGCUUCGACAGAUCGUGAACAAUUGAGGCGCAGGCCGAGGGCGCUUGGGACACCUCGUUAAAAACCCGCAACCAAUACGUGCAAACGUAUCCAAAAACGCCUUUAGCCCUGCCUUCGCGGUAGCCUAACGGCGUCCCCCCUCCGGAAAGCCGGCGGGGCAUCGGCGGACGGAUGCUCGAUACGUCCCCACCGGUGUCACCCAUCGAGCUGGGCCGCGGAACUCCGGUACCGCGGCCGAGAUGCACCGGAGCGGAGCUCCCGAUAUUUCGCCGGAUUUGAGUCGAGAGUCUCUUUAAAACCAAUAACCCGGCUACGCCUGGAGAAACCUCAAUUCGCCGCGACCUGGACAGGGGUUCAAGUCCCCUCGUCUCCACAC
rnacentral:tmRNA from 1 species